rnacentral:tRNA from 1 species
GCGCCAAUAGCUCAGCUGGAUAGAGCAACGGCCUUCUAAGCCGUAGGUCGCAGGUUCGAAUCCUGCUUGGCGCACCA